GGGCAAUUAGCUCAGCCGGCUAGAGCGCUGCCUCCACACGGCAGAGGUCACUGGUUCGAGUCCAGUAUUGCCCACCC
rnacentral:tRNA from 1 species